rnacentral:rRNA from 1 species
AUUGGAGGGCAAGUCUGGUGCCAGCAGCCGCGGUAAUUCCAGCUCCAAUAGCGUAUAUUAAAGUUGUUGUGGUUAAAAAGCUCGUAGUUGAACCUUGGGCCUGGCUGGCCGGUCCGCCUCACCGCGUGUACUGGUCCGGCCGGGCCUUUCCCUCUGUGGAACCCCAUGCCCUUCACUGGGUGUGGCGGGGAAACAGGACUUUUACUGUGAAAAAAUUAGAGUGCUCCAGGCAGGCCUAUGCUCGAAUACAUUAGCAUGGAAUAAUAGAAUAGGACGUGUGGUUCUAUUUUGUUGGUUUCUAGGACCGCCGUAAUGAUUAAUAGGGACAGUCGGGGGCAUCAGUAUUCAAUUGUCAGAGGUGAAAUUCUUGGAUUUAUUAAAGACUAACUACUGCGAAAGCAUUUGCCAAGGAUGUUUUCAUUAAUCAGGAACGAAAGUUAGGGGAUCGAAGACGAUCAGAUACCGUCGUAGUCUUAACCAUAAACUAUGCCGACUAGGGAUCGG